UACGUAGGGUGCAAGCGUUAAUCGGAAUUACUGGGCGUAAAGCGUGCGCAGGCGGCUUUGCAAGACAGAUGUGAAAUCCCCGGGCUUAACCUGGGAACUGCAUUUGUGACUGCAUGGCUGGAGUGCGGCAGAGGGGGAUGGAAUUCCGCGUGUAGCAGUGAAAUGCGUAGAUAUGUGGAGGAACACCGAUGGCGAAGGCAGCCCCCUGGGUCAAAACUGACGCUCAUGCACGAAAGCGUGGGGAGCAAACAGG
rnacentral:rRNA from 1 species